rnacentral:rRNA from 1 species
GACGAACGCUGGCGGCGUGCUUAACACAUGCAAGUCGAACGGUAAGGCCUUUCGGGGUACACGAGUGGCGAACGGGUGAGUAACACGUGGGUGAUCUGCCCUGCACUUCGGGAUAAGCCCGGGAAACUGGGUCUAAUACCGGAUAGGACUGCGGUGCAUGCCGUGUGGUGGAAAGAUUUAUCGGUGCAGGAUGGGCCCGCGGCCUAUCAGCUUGUUGGUGGGGUAAUGGCCUACCAAGGCGACGACGGGUAGCCGGCCUGAGAGGGCGACCGGCCACACUGGGACUGAGACACGGCCCAGACUCCUACGGGAGGCAGCAGUGGGGAAUAUUGCACAAUGGGCGCAAGCCUGAUGCAGCGACGCCGCGUGAGGGAUGACGGCCUUCGGGUUGUAAACCUCUUUCAGCAGGGACGAAGCGUGAGUGACGGUACCUGCAGAAGAAGCACCGGCCAACUACGUG